rnacentral:rRNA from 1 species
UACGAAGGGGGCUAGCGUUGCUCGGAAUUACUGGGCGUAAAGGGCGCGUAGGCGGAUAGUUUAGUCAGAGGUGAAAGCCCAGGGCUCAACCUUGGAAUUGCCUUUGAUACUGGCUGUCUUGAGUACGGGAGAGGUGAGUGGAACUGCGAGUGUAGAGGUGAAAUUCGUAGAUAUUCGCAAGAACACCAGUGGCGAAGGCGGCUCACUGGCCCGGUACUGACGCUGAGGUGCGAAAGCGUGGGGAGCAAACAGG